rnacentral:tRNA from 1 species
GCGGUCGUGGCGGAACGGUAGACGCGCCGGUUUGAGGGAUCGGUGGGGGUAAUUCCCCGUGUGGGUUCAAAUCCCACCGACCGCACCA